rnacentral:rRNA from 1 species
UGGGGAAUAUUGCACAAUGGGCGCAAGCCUGAUGCAGCCAUGCCGCGUGUGUGAAGAAGGCCUUCGGGUUGUAAAGCACUUUCAGCGAGGAGGAAGGUGGUGAGCUUAAUACGCUCAUCAAUUGACGUUACUCGCAGAAGAAGCACCGGCUAACUCCGUGCCAGCAGCCGCGGUAAUACGGAGGGUGCAAGCGUUAAUCGGAAUUACUGGGCGUAAAGCGCACGCAGGCGGUUUGUUAAGUCAGAUGUGAAAUCCCCGGGCUCAACCUGGGAACUGCAUUUGAAACUGGCAAGCUAGAGUCUCGUAGGAGGGGGAUAGAAUUCCAGGUGUAGCAGGUGAAUGCGUAGAGAUCUGGAGGAAUACCGGUGGCGAAGGCGGCCCCCUGGACGAAGANUGACGCUCAGGUGCGAAACGCGUGGGGAGCAAANCAGGAUUAGAUACCCUGGUAGUCCACGCUGUAAACGAUGUCGAUUUGGAGGUUGUGCCCUUGAGGCGUGGCUUCCGGAGCUAACGCGUUAAAUCGACCCGCCUGGGGAGUACGGCCGCAAGGUUAAAACUCAAAUGAAUUACGGGGUCAUAGCUGUUUCCUG